rnacentral:lncRNA from 1 species
GAGAGGAGGCUAAAGAGGCGGUGGCGUAGGGCACUCCCUGCCUGGGCCACAGUGCGCCACUCGGGGCGCUGCGGCCCCCGGGUCUCAGUGCUGGCAGGAAAACAGCUGGGGCCAAGAGGGAGCGUCAUUUCGAAAACCUGCUUCUGGGAACAAAGCGUAAAGUGCAAGCUGGGAGGCGUGGCACUGAGUGCUGGGGAUGGAACCCAGGGCCUUAAGCAUGCAAGAGUUGAAGACAUGGAGGAGCAUACAAGCUGUCCUGAUACAGAUUGACCAAAAAGCCCUCCACCCCUUCCCUGAAAAAUGACCACAUUCAAUGACUGGCUCAUCAAUUCCUACACAAGACAUUUCAUUUAUCAGAGCUGAAGAUGCUUAACAACAAUGGUCGCUUAAAAAAUUUUGCAGAAAAGGUUUGUAUAGGCAAAGCUGAUUUUUACUAAACUGGUGUAGUAUAAUUUAAAAUCAUAUAUUCACAAAAACAAAUUAAGAGAAAGAAAAUGUAGUGCUGUACUUUUUUCUCACCACUUAAGUUCAGGUCUCCUGUCUUACAGAAUACAAAGAAGACAUCAAUGAGGUCAUUCCACUGCUGUUAAAUUAUAAAAUGCUAGAUUUUAUAAAUAUUUUCCUCUAAAAGAGAAU